CUUGAGAUGAAAAAUCAUAAUGUAAGCAUCCAUACCCCCAUUUUGCUUCUGCAACUCAGGUAACAUAGCUACAAGCAUCACACAUGCUGCAGUGCUAUCAUCAUCACUGUGUUUGUUGUGAGCAGCCACCUCUUCCUCAGUGGAAUUUUCAGUAGGCACCUCUGGAAAUGGCUGCUCAAGGACAUACCCAAUUUUCUCAUGCUUGAGAACGAUUCUCAGAUUGCGGUGCCAAUCGAAAAAAUUUGGUCUGAUCAAUUUGUUAGCAUCCAGUAUGCCUCUCAAAUUUAUAUGAUUACUCAUGAUUCAAAAACUGUAAAUGACUAGAAAUAUAGAAUCAAUAUGUAUUAUAAUGCAUUUGUACAAAUUCAAUAUGGACUUUAAUUAAACGUGCUCCCACUGUUUAAAAUAAAUUGAUGACUCUCAUACAUAAAUUAUUGGAAUCCACAUUUGAUUCCCAGUGGGCCGGGAUCUCAUUCGUUAUAUCAAGAUCUUGAGUGUACUCAACAAAUCUUAAUAAAAUAUUUGGGUAGAUACUAUUAUCAAUUGUAUCUCCAUACAACUCCCAGAUCAUUAAACUGACAACUCUUUUGUCUUCACACAUCUUAUAUGUUAGUUUAACAUGCCUCUAAAACAUAUCUCCUUGAAUGUACUCAACAAAAGGUAAAUUUUAGUUAUGUCAAACCCAUCAUUCAGAAAUGUCAAAUAUUUCAUAGUAUCAAACAUAUCCCUAAUAGAUCAGCCUUGAGUGUACUCAACAAGUUGAGGUCGAUUUAGGAUUCUCGUUUUUCACUAUAAUGAUGGAAGAUAAAUAAUACUAACUUAAUAUUUUAUCGAGAGAUUUAACAUACAAUGGUCUCAUCAAGUAAUUAUAUAUAUAUUUAAUCAUGCAUCAACUAUGCGAAUAAAUAUAUAAAUAAUAGUAUGGAUAAUUAUAGACUUGUUCUAUCUUGUUUUCCCGAGCCAAAGGGAAGACUAGUUGGUCAAUUCCUAAGGGGUACAACAUUGGAUCAACAUCAAUGCACCAUCUCCAUGGUUUCCUCCUUUUCUUGUGCCUUCAAUUAGUCAAGCUGCAACGUGUAUCCUAUACUAGUUGGCACACAGGCCUAAAAAAAAAAAAAGACUCGCAGGCCCAUAAUAAUAAUAACAACAAUGGACUCGUAAAUCCAAUAUAAUAAAGAGCUCG
rnacentral:lncRNA from 1 species